rnacentral:rRNA from 11 species
GUGGUAGGGGAGCAUUCUAGUCAGCGGUGAAGGUGACCUGUCAGGGUUGCUGGAGCGGCUAGAAAAGCAAAUGUAGGCAUGAGUAACGAUAAAGGGGGUGAGAAACCCCCUCCCCGAUAGACUAAGGUUUCCUGCUCAACGCUAAUCGGAGCAGGGUUAGUCGGGACCUAAGGCUACGCCGAGAGGCUACGUCGAUGGACAGCUGGUUGAUAUUCCAGCACCUAUUUUUUGGAGUGAUGCAGUGACGCAGAAGUGAAAGUACCGCGAGCGGACGGAAGUGCUCGUUAAAGGGCGUAGGUAUAGAGACGGUAGUUAAGUACGCCGACUUUGCUGAACCCCGAUAGUACCUGGCGGCUUCGGCCAACGGGAUAGUGUACCUAAUCAGACUGUCAAGAAAACCUGCUAAGCGUUUACUGAAGAAUAACCCGUACCGCAAACCGACACAGGUAGUCAAGGAGAGUAUCCUGAGGGGCUCGAGUGAAUCACCGCUAAGGAACUCGGCAAAAUGGUCCUGUAACUUCGGGAGAAGGGACGCUUCCUUGCAGCAAUGCAAGAAGCCGCAGUGAAAAGGCCCAGGCGACUGUUUAACAAAAACACAUGACUUUGCGAACGCGCAAGCGGAAGUAUAAGGUCUGACACCUGCCCGGUGCCGGAAGGUUAAGAGGG